UACAGAGACUGCAAGCGUUAUUCGGAUUCACUGGGCGUAAAGGGUGCGCAGGCGGCCCUUUAAGUCUACCCGUGAAAUGCCGGAGCUCAACUCCGUGCACGCCGGGGGAUACUGGGGGGCUGGAGACAUGUAGAGGCAAGCGGAAUUCCGGGGUGUAGCGGUGGAAUGCGUAGAUAUCCGGAAGAACACCUGAGGCGAAGGCGGGUUGCUGGGCCGACACUGACGCUGAGGCGCGAAAGCCAGGGGAGCGAACGGG
rnacentral:rRNA from 1 species